rnacentral:rRNA from 1 species
UUAGAUACCCUUGUAGUCCACGCCCUAAACGAUGAGUGCUAGAUAUCGGGAGUUUACUCUCGGUUUCGCAGCUAACGCAUUAAGCACUCCGCCUGGGGAGUACGGUCGCAAGAUUAAAACUCAAAGGAAUUGACGGGGGCUCGCACAAGCGGUGGAGCAUGCGGUUUAAUUCGAUGCUACGCGAAAAACCUUACCAACCCUUGACAUGGUGGUCGUAGAUUAUGGAGACAUAUUCGUCAGUUCGGCUGGACCACACACAGGUGUUGCAUGGCUGUCGUCAGCUCGUGUCGUGAGAUGUUGGGUUAAGUCCCGCAACGAGCGCAACCCUCAUCCUUAUUUGCCAGCGAGUAAUGUCGGGAACUAUAAGGAAACUGCCGGUGAUAAGCCGGAGGAAGGUGGGGACGAUGUCAAGUCAUCAUGGCCCUUACGGGUUGGGCUACACGCGUGCUACAAUGGUAUCUACAGAGGGAAGCAAUACGGCGACGUGGAGCAAAUCCUUAAAAGAUAUCUCAGUUCGGAUUGCACUCUGCAACUCGAGUGCAUGAAGUUGGAAUCGCUAGUAAUCGCGGAUCAGAAUGCCGCGGUGAGUACGUUCUCGGGCCUUGUACACACUGCCCGUCACGCCAUGGAAAUUGGUUUUACCCGAUGCUGGUGAGCUGACCGCAAGGAAGCAGCCAACCACGGUAGAAUUGGUAACUGGGGUG